UGAUUAUCAAUUGUUGGGUUCUCAUAUGCGCUUAAUGCUUUUAUCGUUUAACUCAUUCGAUAACUGUUGUUUGUCUCUAUUGAUACGGGAACGUACAGUACUGUCAUGAACUGGUGAGAAAUUCCUUGAUUAAGCAAUACCAACCUAGGGAUAGGGGGUAGGACGAUCAAUUGUUUUUGCUUCUGCUCUUAAUGCAUUAUUAAUUUCUAGGAGAGGCUAGGGAUAGCAAGCCGGUAAUUAGUAAUAGGCUCUUCUCGCCGAGGGAUCAGGUUAAGGGUAGGCCAAGAAAGUUUGCAUAACAAUUAGAUAAUCAAGCACAUUAAACAAGAGGAGUAGAUAAGAGGGAGUGAAUAAGAUGAAAUUGUAAACCCCCAACAACUCCAUUCAUCCAUAGUCUUUUUCGUCAAUUGAAUCAACCACAUUGCAUGUUUAUUUUCUGUCUUUGCAUUCACAACAAUUAAUUCUUCCUUUAUAAGUCUUACGAUUUUUAUUCACACGAACGAUCCUUUCGAGUCUCUUGGGAAGAACGAUAUCGGGUAUUACCGAUUAUAUUACUUGCACGAUCUGGUACACUUGCUAGUGAGUCAACAAAUAGGUCCCAUGUGAUAGGGGUUUUGGUUCCCUCUAAGACCAUACGUGUACUGCUCCACCAAUGGCUUGCCUCUCCAGUCAACAGAUACUCAGUAUAAGACAACCGGUUUUC
rnacentral:lncRNA from 1 species